ACUAAGGAGGGUCAGAUGUUAGCUUAAGGGAGAGGUGGGCCUUAUGAAAGGGCUGAGAGAGAUCAGUUUCCUCACUGGAACCACAGGGAGCGGACAGGCUCCUGUGGAAGGCCCUGAGUUUAGGGACUGUGUGCUCUAUACUGGCGCAGGGAAGGACACAAGUAACAGAGCCCAGCGGAGGCUGAGAACAGAGCUCCAAGAGAAUGAAUCUGGAGGCUGAGUACUCUAUCCCAGAAAUAUAGACUUUUAAAGAAGUGCUGGAAUGAGUAUAUCCACAAAACCAUUUAGAUGUGAAGGACCCUAUUGUCUCUUCCCAUAGAAAGCCGCAUGGAGGAGGGAAUGUACUCGUGAAAAUUUGUGAAGUUCACUGUGCUUCAUCUUCUCAAAUGGAGUUUGUUCCCCCGCAGAAGAAUCAAGAUGCUUGGCCCUCCACCCACACAGUUAUGCCCAAGAUCCACAGAGAUCCCUGUAUUGGACCACUUCAGGAAAAAGUACCACCUGUUCUAACCCAUUGCCCCUACGCUCAGGCAACUUGGAAUAUACUUAUAACCUCUCCAUGCCUGAAAGAGGGAUGAACUCUUUUUGUCUUUUUCCAUAUCAGCAUCUUCAGAGGCAGCACUGCAUAAAGGCAUGUUGAAGAGAUUUUUUCUAUUCUGUGGUUAUUUCACCAUUAAGAUGUGGAUAAAAUCCCUUAUAAAACUUCAGAGACACCUGCGUCAUUUACACGUCUCCUGACUCGGCUGACUGUUCAUACUGCAGUGCUUGCUUACAGCAUGGCAAUCCCCUUGGAAGCUCAUCCUCUCAGAUCAAUACAUAUUAAGGCAGACAAAGCUGCAGUUUUGCUGCAACUAGAAAGCAGAGUGUCUCCUACCAACAAUGUGUAGCCAAUUAGUUCAUUUUAUCAUUUAAUUGUGCUGUCUAUUGUUGUGGUUAACUCAUAUGUUAUUUCAUAUGUAAUUAAUGUGUGAUGCAUAAAGUUAAGCUGUAGAUAAAAGUAAGAUAGGAUCAGAGGUUAAUAAGUAUUUAGAAGUGAUGAGUGUGUAUUAGGUAUAUAAGUAAAGUAAGACUGUAAUACAAGGCCUACAACUAAGAUCUGUAAAAUUUCAGCUUAGCCAUACUAGGUCUCAGGCCUAAGGAGGUUGACAUAUGUAGGUGACCCAGAAGUAACCCCCUGCCAGCAAAGUUACAAGAUUACUGUAAAUAAUGUGCCAAUAGGUGAUGUUUGGGAAAAUAUGCUGCAGUGUACCCAUAGAAACCACAAGACCCCUGAUUGUAACAUCAUGGACAUUUCUGCUUUCACUGCAGGUUAUGGGGUUGUGGAAAUACAGAUAAGGAAAAGGAGAUUGGAACCCUCAUGCAUAUGAUAGGGUCAUGACACAGGAUAAAAAGGGUCCCCUGGGAUGGAUAGGGUGGGAAGACUCCAGCAGGAAUCACUCCUCUAUCAAUGACAACCUGUUGAGAGUUCCAGCAGACUCUAUGCCAGGGUAUCUUUGGGUAUGUGAGUACGACGACAGCGUUGGCUAUUGCAUUGGCUCUUUCAGGUUUUGUGGACUUGUUUGUGAUUGUAGCCUUAAUCAUCUGCUUAGCUUUAGUGAAACUUAUAAUACAGACAAGAUUCCUUACUUGUUUGUGGCUGUGUUUGUGGUCACUGUCUUACUUUGUUCUUCAUGUGUUCCUAACAGCCUUGUCACCCAAGAGAAUCGCCAAGGGUAUCUUUCAUCGUGUUGAUCUUAAAAUAAAAUAAAAAACCAAAUGCUUUUCCCCAGGGGCGGCAGAAGCUCACCUUGACUGGGGGGGCUGAGGUUUGGAGCUGGGGGUGUGGUGCUGAGGGAGUUCAGGCAGCACCCAGGGCAAUGGCGGAGGAUGGCAGGGCAGGCACUCACGUUAGUCUAGGAGACAAGCAGCAGGCUGAGGAAGUGGCCUGGUCAGGGUGGCAGCAGCAGCGUAGUGUCCCCGCUUCCGCACCCACAGCAGCUGCCUGCCCAGCUCCCUGCCCCCACUGCUGCUUUUGCAUAACUGGCAGCUUCUCCUGCCCUGGAGUGGGAACAACUUUCCUUCCAUCCCCAAAAUGAUGCAGCUCCACCCAGCUGCCUCUUCCCUGCCCACCCCCUCCCUUCAAGCUCUCGGGCUGGAGGAGGAGCAGAACCUAGGCUCUCUCAUCUCUCAUCUCACACAGAGGAAAUAUUGCAGGGUGGAGACAUAGAUCAGCCCCCAGAACAUUUCCAUUGCAGGGGUGCUAGCCCCUAUGGCCUCCCAGUUCCACAAAACCUGCUGCCCUUGGCAGCUGCCUAGUUUGCCUAUAGCUGGUGUGGUCCCUGCCUGCUCUUCCAUCUAACUCCUCAUAUCAAUCCUAAGAAAAGGGCAGAAGGUUCCACCUGUGUUAGAUCCAGAGCUCACUCCUAGCACAGAUGGGGCUCUACAAAGUGCUAUGGAAAAUUGUAGCAGGUUGUUGGGGAAGCUCCUUCUAGUGAUGCUAUGGGGAGUGAGUAUGUAAUCUGGAAAGGAGCAGAUAGUCUCUGUAAUCCUGACAGGCUAGCACUACCCACAGAAAAUGCAUUGUAUUUGCCUGAGAUUUUGAAUCCUGUUUUAUUCCUGCACUUCUGUUUAUUUGGGCUGAUAAAUUAUUCUUGAAUUUGACCAUUUCAGUUCCUAUGAAGUGAACAUCACCACCAGCACACAGAGGUGUUGUUUGCAUUUAUCACUGCCUGUUAUCAUUUGACUACCAGAAAAGAAGGUGACUCUUAACCAGGAGAUGACUGCUAGAAGAGAGGCCUCCAAGGAGACCUUUACCAAAAUAUUGUUCCAUGAUCAAAGAACUCAGCAACUCAUCAUGCCUAUGCUGCAACAUCUAACUCACCUCACAUACACUCUUGUCCUAUUGUAUUGAUUAAAAGUCAAAACAUUUCAAAUGUCAGAGAUGUGUGGGUGUACACACACACACACACACACACACACAUAAAACAUGCAGAUAUAUGUAUAUACAUUUAGCCAAAUAUGGAAUGUGUAGCAUACUCUUUGUGACUAAUUUUGUUUGUCUGUAAGAAAAUUCUAUCUCCAAGUUGUUGUUCAGAUUGUUGUGUGUCAGGGGUUAAAAUUAACUGGCUAUUUUUAUAUAAAAUGUCUUUAUAACUUUACUCCAGAGGGGACCAUGUACCUCUCCAACUCAGAAGGGCAACAUCAAGCCCUUCCCUGACCCAUCCUAAAAGUGGGGGCUUUCUCUUUAAACUGCACUUCUAAUAUGAAUAAAACUGUCUGUCUGUCAAAACAAUCAUCUUCACUUUUGUGCCUUUAGAGGGUGUAAUCCAAACCUAAUCUAAGCAGGAAUUUGAGGGCUUGAUUUUUUCCCCUCACAGAUACUAGUAUAAAUCAAAAAUAGUUCCACUGGCAGUGAUGGAGUUACAGUGAUAUGAAAUGGGUCAAAGUGGGAGAAGAAUCAGGCACUGAAUUUCUAAGCUCUGUCCUGCCCCUCCACCAUCACCUUGGCAGCAUAUGCCCAGGAAAGACUAGAACCAGGAAGUAGUGUCUAUUUGAAGUGCCUCAGUU